AUGUUUUAGAAAACGAUUAUGAGAGCUUACGUGUGUUAAAUGUUGAAAGAAAUGGAAAUAUUAUUUAUACCUAUAAGGAUGAUAAGGGAAAUGUCGUCUUUGGAUUAUAUGAUUGUCAAACCAGACAAAAUGAGCUUCUGUAUACCUUUGAGAAAGACUUGCAAGUUUUCAGUUGCUCUGUCAACAGUGAAAGAACUUUGCUUGCUGCAAGUUUAGUUCAGUCUACUAAAGAAGGAAAAAGGAACGAACUUCAACCAGGAUCAAAGUGCUUGACUUUGUUGGUUGAAAUCCACCCUGUUAACAAUGUGAAGGUUCUAAAGGCUGUGGAUAGCUAUAUUUGGGUUCAGUUUCUCUACCCACAUGUUGAAAGUCAUCCUCUUCCAGAGAACCGUCUGUUACUGAUUUCAGAAGAGAAAUAUAUUGAACAAUUUCGUAUCCAUGUCGCCCAAGAAGAUGGAAAUAGAGUGGUGAUUAAAAAUUCUGGCCAUCUCCCAAGAGACAGAAUAGCUGAGGAUUUCGUUUGGGCUCAGUGGGAUAUGUCAGAACAGAGAUUAUACUACUUUGACCUGAAGAAAUCAAGGAGUAUCUUAAAAUGUAUCCAGUUUUAUGCUGAUGAGAGGUAUAACUUAAUGUUUGAAGUACCCUUGGACAUAUCAUUAAGCAACUCAGGAUUUAAACUUGUCAACUUUGGAUGUGAUUAUCAUCAAGACCGAGAUAAAUUUUCCAAACACCUGACUCUGUGUGUUUUUACCAACCAUACAGGAAGUUUGUGUGUAUGUUACAGCCCGAAGUGUGCCUCUUGGGAACAAAUCACAUAUUCUGUGUUUUACAUUCAUAAAGGACACAGCAAGACCUUCACCACUUCUCUUGAGAAUGUUGGCUCACACGUGACAAAGGGCAUUACUUUUCUCAACCUUGACUAUUAUGUGGCUGUUUACUUACCUGGUCAUUUCUUCCACCUACUUAAUGUUCAACAUCCAGACCUGAUCUGCCACAAUCUCUUUCUGACAGGAAAUAAUGAAAUGAUUGAUAUGCUACCUCAUUGCCCUUUACAGUCAUUGUCAGGGUCCCUGGUAUUGGAUUGUUGUUCUGGAAAGCUCUAUAGAGCACUGCUCAGCCAGUCGUCUUUAUUACAGCUUUUGCAGAACACUCGCUUAGACUGUGAGAAGAUGGCCGCGUUGCACUGUGCGCUCUACUGCGGUCAAGGCACGCAGUUCCUGGAAGGCCAGAUUAUUCAAUGGAUUUCUGAGAAUGUCUCUGCCUGCCAUUCAUUUGACCUCAUUCAGGAAUUUAUAAUUGCUUCUUCAUACUGGAGUGUAUAUUCAGAGACAAGUAACAUGGACAAACUAUUGCCAUAUUCCUCAGUGCUCAUUUGGAAUACAGAAAUUCCUGGAAUAACUCUUGUGACAGAAGACAUUGCAUUGCCUCUUAUGAAGGUGCUCAGCUUUAAGGGCUACUGGGAAAAACUGAACUCCAACCUAGAAUAUGUUAAGUACGCCAAGCCACACUUCCACUAUAACAACAGUGUGGUCAGGAGAGAGUGGCACAACCUGAUCUCUGAAGAGGUAUGAGUGGGUCAGUGAGAACAAAGCCAGCAGCCAGCCCUAGUGGACUGGAUCCAGGUGAUGCCUUUAAAUCAUAAGGCUGGCUUCCAUGUGCAGCAUUCUUCCCAAUUGCCAGGGACUUGAACAUUGUCGUUACUGACCUCAAUAGUCAGAGAUGCUUCUAUGAUCUCUGUUCUCCUGGGGAGGAAACUGAAAACAGAAAGUUUAAGGGGACACACAGCACAUUCAUAGUAGAAGUAUGAUUAAUAUCCAUGUCUCACAUGUGUUCUCAGGUUACUUAUGUAGUUAAAAAUUGAUAUUAAAAAAUCUAGGUGUUCCCAAAUUAGUGGUCAUUAGGGGUUGGGGUAGUUGGAGGGAGAAUAGUGGAUGUGACUCACUCUCCAGGGGUGACCCAGGGAAAUCUUUGGGGGUGAUCAAAGACUUCUGUAUGUUGAUUGUGGUGGUACAUUGUGGGACAUGAAUCUAAACAUGAUAAAGUGACAUAGAAUGACACACACACAUUGUGCCAAUGUCAAUUUUUGAUUUUGAUAUUGUGCUCUAGUUAGGUAAGAUAUAAGCACUCAGGAGACUGGGUGGAGGGUACAUUGGAUCUCUCUUUAGUAUCGCUGCAUGUAGAUUACUGUUGUUGUAUAUAGUAUAUAGUUGACUCGCAGUUUCCUGUGAAUCUGUAAUUGUUUCAGAAUAAAAUGUUUCUUAAAACUUUAAAAAAAA
rnacentral:sRNA from 1 species